rnacentral:rRNA from 1 species
UACGUAGGGGGCAAGCGUUGUCCGGAUUUAUUGGGCGUAAAGCGCACGCAGGCGGUCUCUUAAGUUUUGGGUGACAGGUGGUGGCUCAACUACCACAGGCCUUGGAAAACUGGGAGACUUGAGGACUUCAGAGGGAUGCGGAAUUCCAGGUGGAGCGGUGAAAUGCGUAGAGAUCUGGAAGAACACCAAAGACGAAGGCAGCAUUCUGGGAAGUAACUGACGCUCAUGUGCGAAAGCUAGGGGAGCGAACGGG